UACGAAGGGUGCAAGCGUUACUCGGAAUUACUGGGCGUAAAGCGUGCGUAGGUGGUGAGUUAAGUCUGUCGUGAAAGCCCCGGGCUCAACCUGGGAAUGGCGAUGGAUACUGGCUCGCUAGAGUGCGGUAGAGGAGAGUGGAAUUCCCGGUGUAGCGGUGAAAUGCGCAGAUAUCGGGAAGAACACCCGUGGCGAAGGCGCUCUCUGGAACGCAACUGACGCUGAGACGCGAAAGCGUGGGGAGCAAACAGG
rnacentral:rRNA from 1 species